GCUAACGACGUGCCAGCGGCCGCGGGAAGACAGAGGGUGCUAGCGGUAGUCGUAGUUACUGGGCGUAAAGCGCGCGUAGGUGGUUAAUUAAGUCAGAUGUGAAAGGCCGGGGCUCAACCCCGGAGCUGCAUUUGAAACUGCUCGGCUAGAGUACAGGAGAGGCAGGCGGAAUUCCUAGUGUAGCGGUGAAAUGCGUAGAUAUUAGGAGGAACACCAGUGGCGAAGGCGGCUUGCUGGACUGUUACUGACACUGAGGCACGAAAGCGUGGGGAGCAAACAGGAUUAGAUACCCGGGUAGUC
rnacentral:rRNA from 1 species